GGGGGAUGAUGAGAGUCUGAAAGGUUUCGCUCACUGGACUGAGCUGCUGUGAUGUCACUUCCUCCAGGCUGUCUGACCAA
rnacentral:snoRNA from 1 species